UGAAUCGUUAGCGGCGGACGGGUGAGUAACACGUGGGCAACCUGCCCUGUAGACGGGGAUAACACCGAGAAAUCGGUGCUAAUACCGGAUAAUACGAAAGGUCGCAUGAUCUUUCGUUGAAAGGCGGCGCAAGCUGUCGCUACAGGAUGGGCCCGCGGCGCAUUAGCUAGUUGGUGAGGUAACGGCUCACCAAGGCGACGAUGCGUAGCCGACCUGAGAGGGUGAUCGGCCACACUGGGACUGAGACACGG
rnacentral:rRNA from 1 species